rnacentral:rRNA from 1 species
UUGGCGAACGGGUGAGUAACGCGUGAGUAACCUGCCCUGGAGUGGGGGGACAACAGUUGGAAACGACUGCUAAUACCGCAUAAGCCCACGAUCCGGCAUCGGAUUGAGGGAAAAGGAUUUAUUCGCUUCAGGAUGGACUCGCGUCCAAUUAGCUGGUUGGUGAGGUAACGGCCCACCAAGGCGACGAUUGGUAGCCGGACUGAGAGGUUGAACGGCCACAUUGGGACUGAGACACGGCCCAG